GUAUUAGUAAAUGUCAAAUUACAUGAUCAGUAAAAUUUUACGUUCGAUCGAGUUUCGUAGAAUAGAUUCAGCCAUUACCAAAUCUGAUCGGCAAGUGAGCAGACAGUUAGUUUCGGUGAUAGUGCUUUCAAUUUUUUCAAUCUAAGUUAUUAAAAAUAGUUCCGGAUUUAUUUUAUCACUGGGAACGGAAACUCUGCUCAUCUGUGCAGUUCUAAAUCUGUACAAAAGCGUCCAACGGACGCUUUUUUGUACGGGCUUCAAGCCCGCAGCUACACACUCCGCCAUUUUGAACAUCCACACGACCACGUGGGACAUUUCCGAGGACGCUCGCUCAUCCAGGCCCGCCACAGAGCUGGCAGUCAAACGGGUGGAGAGGAUUGUCUGGCCUGCCCGCAUUCUGAGAGGAGUGAUCGGGUAGCGUACUUGGACCUGCCGAAACCCUUCCCCGCACCUUUAUUCCGGCCAUCAGUGAUUCGAGCUUCUUUUCCGAGCCGUCCCUCGAAGGAACGGGAUCCCGCCGGCCCCGGCGGCGAACCCUUGCUCCGCCGCUGCGCUCGCCAAGAACAUCGCACUCCGUCCGUGCACCCCUCGUCAGCUGACAGCAUAAGUUAAACCCUGCGCAGGUAUGUCCUCAUAAUCAUGGCCAUGAACACACUACACAACACACACUCACACACUCUCACACUGGAUGCUUAAAACGAAAAAAUGAAUUAAUACAUAAAAAUGAAUUCAAACUCAA